rnacentral:rRNA from 1 species
UGGUGGAGUGAUUUGUCUGGUUAAUUCCGUUAACGAGCGAGACCAAUACUUACUAAAUAAAGAGGACAACCGUCUAACAUGCCAUGAAGUGGCGCCGGCGGGUCGGCUUAACGGCUAGCCCCUGGCACCGUGGAUUGGUUGAUGCGUUGUUUCGACUUUUCUUAGGAGGACUGCUGCCUUCAAGGCAGAGGAAGUUAUUGGCAAUAACA